UGGGGAAUUUUGGACAAUGGGGGCAACCCUGAUCCAGCAAUGCCGCGUGAGUGAAGAAGGCCUUCGGGUUGUAAAGCUCUUUUGUCAGGGAAGAAACAGCAGCUCUAACACAGUCUGCGAAUGACGGUACCUGAAGAAUAAGCACCGGCUAACUACGUGCCAGCAGCCGCGGUAAU
rnacentral:rRNA from 1 species